rnacentral:tRNA from 1 species
UCCCUAGGGGCUCAGAUGGUAAAGAAUCUGCCUGUGAUGCCGGAGACCUGGGUUCAAUCCCUGGCUUGGGAA